rfam:Triticum urartu cultivar G1812 contig393714, whole genome shotgun sequence.
GUACUACUCCCUCCGUUUCGAAUUACUUGUCACGGGUAUGAAUGUAUCUAGAUGUGUUUUAACUCUAGAUACAUCUAUUUUUACGACGAGUAAUUUGGAACGGAGGGAGUGCUAC